GAAGGUUUUCGGAUCGUAAAGCUCUGUUGUUAGGGAAGAACAAGUGCGAGAGUAACUGCUCGCGCUUGACGGUACCUAACCAGAAAGCCACGGCUAACUACGUGCCAGCAGCCGCGGUAAUACGUAGGUGGCAAGCGUUGUCCGGAAUUAUUGGGCGUAAAGGGCUCGCAGGCGGUUUCUUAAGUCUGAUGUGAAAGCCCCCGGCUCAACCGGGGAGGGCAUUGGAAACUGGGAAACUUGAGUGCAGAAGAGGAGAGUGGAAUUCCACGUGUAGCGGUGAAAUGCGUAGAGAUGUGGAGGAACACCAGUGGCGAAGGCGACUCUCUGGUCUGUAACUGACGCUGAGGAGCGAAAGCGUGGGGAGCGAACAGGAUUAGAUACCCUGGUAGUCCACGCCGUAAACGAUGAAGCUAAGCUUAGGGGGAUCCGGCCUUAGCCUGCAGCUAACGCAUUAAGCACUCCGCCUGGGGAGUACGGUCGCAAGACUGAAACUC
rnacentral:rRNA from 1 species